UGGUCGACUAACACAGAGUCAAAACAGAGCUCUGCUCUGGCUCUUUAAAACCCAAAUUCACUACAAUCAUCUCAAAAUCAAAGAGAGAAACCGAAAUUCAAUUGAUUCUAAGCUAAAUUCGUGAUCUUCAUACUUUGUAGAUCACAAGGCAAUUUAGGUGGGUCGUCUAGUAAUCAAGGAGGAUCGGACAACCGUUUGAAAGGAAAGCUUUAAAAGGUAACUUUAGGUAAUAGACGGAUGACAAUCAAGCUAACGAACGAACCGAAUACACACAUAAUUAAAGCUUCCGCCACUAAAUCAACUUUUGUACUAAACUCUUUGAGUUUGUUUUGUCUAAACAUGUAAAUAUAGAACUUAUACUUCGCAAGUUAAGUAUGCAUUAGUGACGUAGAAUGUUCUAAAAUUUUGUAAACUUGGUUUUAGGUUAUGGAACUUAUGUAAAUGUCGUUGUGUUAAUGUUUAAGACAAACGACAGUUGAAUGUGAUAUAUAUAUAAGGUAUUAAAA